rnacentral:misc_RNA from 1 species
UCCAGCUUAUCGCUGGCGGUCUCCUGAGAGUGCACCUUGCGGUUAGCAACACAGGACAGGGGUUGCGCUCGUUGCGCCACUUAAGGCAACACCUCACGGCACGAGCUGACGACAGCCAUGCAGCACCUGUGCAGGCUCCCGAAGGAGCGCCGGCUUUCACCGGUUUCACCCUGCAUGUCAAGCCUUGGUAAGGUUCUUCGCGUCGCGUCGAAUUAAACCACAUGCUCCGCUGCUUGUGCGGGUCCCCGUCAAUUCCUUUGAGUUUUAGCCUUGCGGCCGUACUCCCCAGGCGGGGUGCUUAAUGCGUUAGCUGCGGCACGGACGGAGUCGACACCGCCCACACCUAGCACCCAUCGUUUACGGCGUGGACUAC